rnacentral:tRNA from 1 species
GCCGAGGUAGCUCAGUUGGUAGAGCAACGGACUGAAAAUCCGUGUGUCGGCGGUUCAAUUCCGUUCCUCGGCACCA